rnacentral:rRNA from 1 species
AGAGUUUGAUCAUGGCUCAGGAUGAACGCUGGCGGCGUGCCUAAUACAUGCAAGUCGAGCGAACAGAUAAGGAGCUUGCUCCUUUGACGUUAGCGGCGGACGGGUGAGUAACACGUGGGUAACCUACCUAUAAGACUGGGAUAACUUCGGGAAACCGGAGCUAAUACCGGAUAACAUUUGGAACCGCAUGGUUCUAAAGUGAAAGAUGGUUUUGCUAUCACUUAUAGAUGGACCCGCGCCGUAUUAGCUAGUUGGUAAGGUAACGGCUUACCAAGGCGACGAUACGUAGCCGACCUGAGAGGGUGAUCGGCCACACUGGAACUGAGACACGGUCCAGACUCCUACGGGAGGCAGCAGUAGGGAAUCUUCCGCAAUGGGCGAAAGCCUGACGGAGCAACGCCGCGUGAGUGAUGAAGGGUUUCGGCUCGUAAAACUCUGUUAUUAGGGAAGAACAAAUGUGUAAGUAACUGUGCACAUCUUGACGGUACCUAAUCAGAAAGCCACGGCUAACUACGUGCCAGCAGCCGCGGUAAUAC